rnacentral:rRNA from 1 species
GAUGAACGCUAGCGGCAGGCCUAACACAUGCAAGUCGAGGGGGAAGUUACUUUCGGGUGACUGAGACCGGCGUACGGGUGCGUAACGCGUAUACAAUCUGCCUUUCACUGGGGGAUAGCCCGAAGAAAUUUGGAUUAAUACCCCAUAGUAUAUAGGGACGGCAUCGUUUUUAUAUUAAAGCUUAGGUGGUGAAAGAUGAGUAUGCGUUCUAUUAGCUAGUUGGAGAGGUAACGGCUCCCCAAGGCGAUGAUAGAUAGGGGUUCUGAGAGGGAUGUCCCCCACACUGGUACUGAGAUACGGACCAGACUCCUACGGGAGGCAGCAGUGAGGAAUAUUGGACAAUGGUCGGAAGACUGAUCCAGCCAUGCCGCGUGCAGGAUGAAGGUCUUAUGGAUUGUAAACUGCUUUUGUAAGGGAAGAAUAAGGGCUACGCGUAGUUUGAUGACGGUACCUUACGAAUAAGCAUCGGCUAGCUCCGUG